CCAUAACGAAGGUGGUUUGUCUGCAGGAGAUGUCGGCUAAUGGGAUACGAAAAUAAGCUGUUUAAACCAAAAGUGUGGGUGGCACUGGGAGCAGGUGGGUAAAGUGUCUUGCCCAAGGACAAAACGGCAGUGACUAGGAUGGCUGAAGCGGAGAUCGAACCUGCAACCCUCAAGUUGCUGGCACGGCCGCUCUACCAACCGAGCUAUACCGGUGCGCUGGAGCCUAUCUCAGCUACAAUCGGGCGGAAGGCGGCGUACACCCUGGACAAGUUAAAACCUCAUCCCAAUGCAAAAAUACCACCCUCUCCAAUUCGUAUUAAAUGCACACACCUUUUUAUUGUAACAUUCUAGCUAUCGUAAAGUGGAUAAAGUGAAUGAAUGCCAGUAAAAGUCUGCUUACAAUGGAAGUAAAGGAAGUAGGGUUGAAGGGUAUACCGAUACUGGUAUAGUAUCACGGUACUAAAGAAUCAAAAACAGUACUGUACUGUUUGACCUUGUCGUCAAGUCAUGACAUUGCUGGUUUUACGAGCAGAGGAGCAUGUUCGGCAGUGCACAAUUACAGAGUACUUACAAGCAGAUACAGUGUGUAGACAGAAAGAGAGAACGGACAUAUUUUGGCUUAAAAAGUAAAAACAAAGGUGAAGUUAUAACACUGAAACGCCCUGAGGAUGAGGUGCUUUAAGACAUGGCUAGCUAGCUAGCGGCGAACGUCCAUCCGCAGUCUGUAGUGUUUUAGCUACCUCUAAAUCACUAAAAAUAAAGUACGUUU